rnacentral:rRNA from 1 species
CCUGCACUCUGGGACAAGCCCUGGAAACGGGGUCUAAUACCGGAUACGAGCCUCCCGGGCAUCUGGGAGGUUGGAAAGCUCCGGCGGUGCAGGAUGAGCCCGCGGCCUAUCAGCUUGUUGGUGAGGUAACGGCUCACCAAGGCGACGACGGGUAGCCGGCCUGAGAGGGCGACCGGCCACACUGGGACUGAGACACGGCCCAGACUCCUACGGGAGGCAGCAGUGGGGAAUAUUGCACAAUGGGCGAAAGCCUGAUGCAGCGACGCCGCGUGAGGGAUGACGGCCUUCGGGUUGUAAACCUCUUUCAGCAGGGAAGAAGCGAGAGUGACGGUACCUGCAGAAGAAGCGCCGGCUAACUACGUGCCAGCAGCCGCGGUAAUACGUAGGGCGCAAGCGUUGUCCGGAAUUAUUGGGCGUAAAGAGCUCGUAGGCGGCUUGUCGCGUCGAUUGUGAA